UACGUAGGGAGCAAGCGUUGUUCGGAUUUACUGGGCGUAAAGGGCGCGUAGGCGGCCAGCACAAGUCAGUUGUGAAAUCUCCGAGCUUAACUCGGAAAGGUCAACUGAUACUGUGCGGCUAGAGUGCAGAAGGGGCAACUGGAAUUCUUGGUGUAGCGGUGAAAUGCGUAGAUAUCAAGAGGAACACCUGCGGCGAAGGCGGGUUGCUGGGCUGACACUGACGCUGAGGCGCGAAAGCCAGGGGAGCGAACGGG
rnacentral:rRNA from 1 species